rnacentral:lncRNA from 1 species
UGUUUUUACACUGUCUAUGCAGUGAUGUAUUUGCAGUCGAAUCCUGGGGGGAUUACAAUCUUUGGGUGGACAGUAGAUCGAGGUCUAAUAAACACAAUAUUCUUCAUUGAACUGUCGCUUGUUACCUUUGUUCUGGGAAAGACCAUUAUUGAUCCGUCCUGAGUAACGCAUGAUCAGAGAGUUGGCAUUGUUCUUGAUGAAUCAACAUGGGUUAUUUAUCUGAGUUGCAAUCAGGUUCAACUGGCUGAUCCUAAACUCACAAGGACUCAACUCUCCUUCUUGCUUCCUGCAUCAAGAGCAAUGAGUACGUGCCCAGACCUGCCGAUGAGUUAUGUUAUCCACUUCUCGUCUAUUUUUAUUGUACUGCUUUCCUCUUUCAAUGCCAGUUGAGGAGAGAAUGUCGAGGAAGGGGCCAGGAUGAGGUAAGGGAGGGAAAAGAUCGACAUAGAAAGGCAAUCAAAGUGAAGCUCAUUGGAAUACUUCUAAAGGUUACCCUAUAAAUGUUAUUUCUGUAUGCAUUGUAAAGAAAAGUGGAAAAAUAAUGAUUAACAUUCGUUUUGUAUAAAAGACCGGUGAAACAAUUGGAGUCAAUUAUCUCUAUUUAUACCAUUUUAUUUCUUGAUUUACAAUAGAAGGGAGAAAAAAAGGCCCUGUAACUGGAAUUUUUAUGAUUUUGAUUCUCAGUUGUUUACUGUAUUGGUUGCAUUCUUCUAUUUUUUGAUUCACAUAGUUUUUGUAAGAAUCCUGUUUAGGCAAGUCCGGCUUGGCCUGGCCAGGGCAGUGUCUGCAGCCCAAUACCAGGAAGCACUCGUCAAGGUGGAAGGAUAUGGGAAGAAGGCAGUAUUUUCUAUGAAGUUUUCUUCUACUACUGCUUCUUUAGAAGUGCUUUUUAAAAAAUUUAAAAGUUCUUCUAACGAAUCAAAAUAUUCUAAAGUAGCUUUUGACUUUUCAAAAGUAUAACAAUUAUCAAAAUUCGAAACUGUUAGUGAAAGCUAACUUCCGUCUUCCUAAGCUAGUGUUUUAUUUUAUUUUUUAUUUUUAUUUUUUUUCAAAGUUUGAUUGUGUUGGUAACUUAGUUUAUGCAAAGAAAUUAUGCAUCAAAUGAUGCAUAAUCAUUUUGAAAAUUUGUAGCAGCUUCCAUCAAAGAUACAUCUACUUUUCUUGGUUUUAUUGGGUGUCCCUUUGGAACAUAUUAGAAGACGAGAAAUACUAUAAAACUUCCGCAAAUCAGUGAAUGUCAAUAACCUCGCUUAAAAGUAAGAUUUCUUGGUCCCUAUUCGAGCCAAUUUAAAAAAUUAAUCAUCUCGCUAUAUUCAUGAGAUAAUAGUUUUUAAAGAAAGGCUCAAUGAAAAUGUAAAACAAUAUUUGUUAAGAAAAAGUAGAACUUCUUAAUACAUACUCUGAAAUUUUUUACUUUGACAAAUUCAAUAAUGUUAAGGGUUUGUUUGGUGCUGAUUAUAAGAAUUGAUUUUUUGAUAAUUAACUUAAAAUGUGAAUCCUACCUGUGAGUGAAGAUGUCAAAAAUGACGGCUGAUUAUAGUAAGUUACGGUCAAAAAAGUUAUUUUUGUCGCACUCGAUUCUCAAAUUAACAUAAAUUGUUCGUGAUAAUAGUUUCUCUCCAAUUUUUUCUUUAGGAUAGAGUAUAAAAAUGUUUGUCCAUUGUAUUUUUAAAUAAGUAAAACAAGUAAUAAUGCGAAAAUAAGAUUAAAUAUUUGACCCUCGUUUUAAAGCAUGUUAACAAUAUUUUUAAAAAAAAAUCAUGAUUAAUGACAAGCUUUUUUUAAUCAAUAAAAUGGUUAAAAUAAGAAUGUGACGAAAAAAAAAUUAAGAAUAUAAAUGUGAUAGUGAAUAAAGAUUAAUGAUAUUUAAUUAAUUAAAUGUGGUGUACUUGUAAAAAAUUUGGUGUGAAUAAUAUAACCGCCUUUUUAUAAUUUUAAUUCAAUUUUUCUAUACAUAUGCAUCUAUGGUUGCUUUUCUUUUUCUUUCUUUCCCCUAUCGAUCGGUCCAUCGCUGACCAAAGGUCGACGGUGACCACCAACCAGCACAUAGAGGACCUUUUUGUUUGGUCUUGAAGGAGAUUCGAACCCUUGGUGGCAACGUAUCUGGGCUUGCAAUAGAAGAAUGGCUAAUGAUUUCUGACGAAGACUUUCGUUUACUCCAUAAUUCGGGCUGACGAUGCAGAUAUUCAGCAUACGAAGCGACGCAAAGGGUCAAGAAUUUUCUUUGAAUAUUUGAAAAUUCACGAGGAAUGGCAAGUUAAACUCGUGGCUUAUAAAUAUAGAGAACAAUUGCAAUAUAAUCGUCAAAGCCAGCGUAUUUGAACGUGGACCAAGAUGAAAAAAUUAUUAAAGGAGUGAUUCUUGGGGGGAAAAAUAAAUAAAAAUUGAUGGACUGACUUUGGCAUAAAUUUUUUAGUAGACCCGUUUGAUUAUUUUGGAAGAUCAAGAUUGAUUUGUGUUCUCUUCUGUUAGAAUAUCGAAAUAAUAUAUUUACUUGUCAAAAAUGUUCCAAAUCAUUUCUGUAGGAUGCUUGGAAAAAAAUUAAGACCUGCCCCGUGUUCAUGAAAAAAAAAAAAAAAGUUGAAUUGUGCAAAUAAAAUGAAAAAUGGUAAACUAAAAACUCUCUUGAAAACAAUCUUCUAUAUUUAAAUUAUGCAUUUGAUAACAACCAAUAAAAUUAACAAAGAGUAUCACAUCUUAUCAUUAUAGAGCAAACCUAGAUAAUAAACGAAAACAAUAAUCUUGCAUUUUAUCAUUCAUUUGAACCAAACUUAUAUUUGAAUCAAAAACAAUUUUAUUUCUAGAAAAUUCAUUCUUUAAAAAUUCAUUUUGAAUUUGUAUUUUAAUCUCUAAUAAUUGCAGAACUCAAAAUUUCGAAAAUGUAUAUAAAAAAUAAUAAAAAUAAAAAUAAACGGGGUAGCAAACAAGACAAAAAGCCUCUCGCCCCGUCUAAGGCGGGACGGGAUAGGGGCGGGGUGGGGCCCCCACACCGUUGCCAUCCCUAUCAUCCACACACUGAUGGUUAAAUCGAAGUGGCUAAAAUCACACCAGGUUACAUAAUUCAAUGUGCUUGUGGUGAUAAGCCUAAAUGGUGGAAUGUAGAUUUACCGAAUUUUCUUUCAAUAUCUCGCCAAAUUGUUCGACUAAGCAAGCACCACUCUGUUUACCCGUGGUUGAUCAUAACAAACCAGAUUAAUAUUGUUUCUAACAAAUUAUUUUGAAUAAUGAUAGUUCAAUUUUAAAAUCAAUUAAGCACUAAGUACUCAGGUCAAAUCAUUAGAGACGAAGAAAGAUCAAGAGCACGAGAGAUGGCAUCAAAGAAAGAUGUCAAGAUCGAAGUCACACAUUCAAUAAUUUAAGAGCCAAAUUUCGGAGGAAGAUUAAAGACUUGAUUUCUUAGGUAAAAUGUAAAGGUACUAACACUUUAAUAUUUGGCAAUGAAUGGUUAAGCUCAAAAUCCUUCCAUGCAUAAAAAAUAAUUUUUGUGUACUAAAAGUCAUUCCAAUGCAUCGUUUUGAUCAAAUAUAAAAAUGAUUUUUAAAAAUGAUAUUUGGACUUUAAAAAACAUUUUUAUCAUGAAAGAAUAGUUAAAAAUAUUUUUCAAAGGUCCAUGCAAUUUAAAACUUCCAAAUCGGAACAAAUGGGGCUAAAACAUAAAAAACACCGCGCUACCCUAGGAGGGGUCGACCAGACACCCUCUAAUGGUCCAGAAUUUGACCACUCUGAAUUCUGAUUUUUGCUGUUCAAAUGGCUAUAUUGAUCUUCCGGACAAGAGACGGUCGACCGGACUAGCAUUCUGCAAAUAUAGAUUUCCCCCCCUUUUUGAACUCUAUAAAUAUCCUCACUCUUUUCAUUCUUCAUAAGAUUUCCAAGUAAAUCAAAGUGGGAUAUUUUUGUUUUAAGAAUUCUUUGAGCUUUCAUUUGCAUUCAUUUCAUUUGUUUUUUCAUAUAAAAAAUUUUGAUUGAUUCAAACUCAUUAAUCAUCAUUCUCAUCAAAGUUUUCCAUCUUUCUUUGUGUUUAAUUUAUUUAUACCAUUCUUAAAAGAGUUGUAUAUUCUUGAAGAAUGUACUUGCAUUUACAUUGCAUAAAUCUUUCCAAUUCUUCAGAUUGAAAAUUUUUGAUUGUUGAAUCAAAUUUCUUGAAUCAUUUCUUCAUCAAAGUUUUUCAUAUUUCUUUAUGCUGGACUUAUUUAUAUCAAUUUUCAAAGAGAUAUAUUCUUGAAAAAAGCUCUUUGCAGUUUUAUUGCAGAAAUUUUUCAACUUCUUCAUAUUAAAAACGUUGAUUGAUUGAAUCAAAUUUGUAAAAUUAUCAUAUUCAUCAAAGUUUUUAAUCUCUCUUAGUACUUGAUUUAUUAUAAUUAUUCAUUAAAAGAGAGAUUUUUUUAGAAGAUUAUUUAAAUUUAAAUUUCAUUUAAUUCUUCUUCAUCUUCUCAUUGAAAUACUUUGAUUGGUUGAACUUAAUUUUCAUUUUCAUCAAAGUUUUUCAUCUAAUACUUGAACUAUCAUUUGUCACUAUUCAAUUUUCAAAGAUAUAUAUUUUACGAACUUUCUAGUUUUCCAAUUUUAUUUUUAUUUUUUCAAGGAACUAAUUUCACUUUGGCUAUUUCAUUAUCGUAUAAUUUUCAAAAGGAUAAUUCAAGAUGUGUUGAAUUCCUCACAUUUUUAUAGCAUUAAUAACUAGAAAUAGCUUCAUGUAAUUAAUUUAUCGAUAUAUUAAUAAACAAAUUAAAAACCCCAUUAAAGUAAAAAAAUUUCUCGAUCCAAACAUUAUUAUUUUGUAAAGAUUUUAAUGUAAAUUUGAAUUAACAACGUCUAAUGAAUGGGAGCAAUCUAAUAAAUAUAGCAAUAAAGUGAAUGAUUGAAGCUGUAAAAUGAUUUACGUAGUGAGUUGUUUUUUUUUUUUUUUUUUUUUUUUUUUUUUUUUUUUUUAUAUUAUGAGUCUUACAUCCAUCAUUGAAAAGCAUUCUUUAAUAUAUGUCCGUGGACUUCUUGCUAAAUCUUGCCAAAAGUUCAUGGUAUUGUUUAAAUUUGCUAUGUCAAAAUUCAUAAAUAUUUUUGCAUUAACAUGCAUCAAUUCCAUUUUACUCUAUAAUGUAUAUGAUUUAAUGAUCUUCUGCAUUGGAAUAUGUAGUGUGAUCAAAUCUCCUCGAGGAAGCAGACAAAUACUAUGAAUAUGAUAUUUUUUAUCGUGAGGACUCAAUAUGAUGUUAUGCAAUGCACAUUCGAUGUAAAAUUUAAAGUUGUAAUGACCCAUUUGUCAAGAAGGUAGAAUAAGAAUUCAUUUGAACCAUGUUUCGAUGCUAAUAGAAGUCAUGUUGGGGAGUUCAAUACGAGAAAUAUGAUUUGUUGUUGAUUCAUGUUUCGAUGAUACUUGUUUAUUAACAUCAAAAUAUGACUCAACCCAACAUUGACACGAUUAAGUUGAAAAAUCUUGACAUAGUUAGGAGAUGAACACGGACAAACUACUUGACCUUAUACGUAGUGAUUGUGAGUCGAGACAAGCUCAAAAUUCAUUUAUAAGUCAUGUCAUGUGUUCAUCACUCGAUAUCCAAGGUGACUGAAGUAGAACUUGCCCAACUUAUUUGUCUAAAUACCCAAAUGAAAUUGAUGAUAUUCGUAUGUUAUUGUGUACAAAUUGUGUAUGGAAUAUAUAAAAAAAUUUUUUUUUUGGGGUUUUUUUUUUUUUUUUUUUUUUUUUUUUUUGACUUGAGUUAAAGUCUAGUCCGUGGUUAAAUCAUUCAAUAAUCUUUCAUGGGAAUCUCUAAAAAUAGUUACACGGUAAUAAAUUACAUGCAUGUGUAAGCACUUAAACCCUAAUACCAAGAUUUUAAGAAUUUCAUGAUUUUCACAUAUAAUUUAAUUGAUAAAGAAACAUACAUUGAUCCAUGACAAUAAUCGAGCAAUUAAAUCUGCAAAAAAAAAAAAGAAGAAAAAAAGAAAAAGAGAGAGAAUUGUUAAAUUAAAGAAAUUGUUAUCUCAUCUUUCCUCUCUGUAAUUUAAUUGAUGUGUUUUAUUCACGUUUAUAGGCAGAGAGGCAAUUUUCUAUUGGCCAUAAAACUUUCCACUUUUCAUCAAAGUAAACAGUUAUAAAACUGUUACUUUUCAAUUGGACCAAUAGGAUUUUAGUAAUAUUAAUCACCUUUAAUUAAUUCUUAAAUAUUACAUGGGCCACAAAAUAAAUGGUUUUACGGCAUGUUAUAAAGAUCUAAAUGCUAUGAAUAUUUUAUACAAAGUCAGAAAUCAAACGAAUCGAAUAGAGUUCUAUAAAAAAAAAAAAAAUAAAAUAAAAUAAAAUAAUAAUAAUAAUAAUAAUAAUAAUAAUAAUAAUAAUAAUAAUAAGUUCAUGACGACUUAUCAUGGAUUUAUUGAUUAAAAACUGUAGUUAGUCGUUGCUGGCGAUUCGCAACCACUCUUCCAUUACAUUGUUUCUUAAUCAUUUUCCUCGUUCAGCUCUCACUUUUCAACCAAAUAAUUACAUGCUUUGCACGUGAUGACAUAUUCUAGGGUUAUUUCGUCAAUGUAAAGUUGACUACAUUUAUUUCAAAAACAAUUAGAAUUAGGAAAAAUGGAAAGCUAAAAUUUAAGUAUUGAAGGACCGAACAAGUAUCAUACACCCGACCUCACUUAUAUUUAUAUAAAACUUUAUUUAUUAUUGAAUUAAAAUUUCUUCAACCAAAUAAAAAAUAAAAAAAUAUUCUCUCUCUCUUUUUUUUUUGACACUUCAUCUAUUUGUAAACCAUUAUAUAACUUGUUAUGUACAAGUAGCAAUAUUCUUUAAAAUUAACCAUCAUGUCUUAGGUCCCGUUUGGGAGCGAUUUUAAGAAUUGAUUUGAUGAUCAUUAGGGGGCCUACCCUCCAACAUGCUUCUUAUUCAGAGCUUGUUUGGAAUUGAUUUUUCACUCCAAAAAAUUGAUUUUUUGACAAUUAUUUCACUAUUUCAAUUGUAAAAUUUGACUUUUUCUCUCACAAAUGGUCUCUACUUUUUUCCUAAUGGGGCUUUCACAACAAUCCUGCCAUUCUCAAUGGAUGCUACCCAGUACUCCAGCAUUUUGAAGUCCGAAUGACAUGACAUGGUGACUGUAAUGAUCACAAAAUCAAUUUUCGAAAUCACUUCCAAACGGGACCUUAAUAUCGUAAGACAUAAAAUAAAAUUGGGCUCUUGUCUGGGGUCGGUUAAAUGGCAAUUAAAAUUAACAAAUAUCUGACUACUUUUCUGAAUAUACAUUGUACCCAUAAUUCACUGGUUGCUCAUAUUCCUUAUUUACCCUCAAAAUCAAUUCACUUUGUGGGGCCGGUCAAAUAUUGUUGCCAAAUAAAAAAAUAAAAAAUGAAAAGGGCAUAAUAGACUUUUGGUUUAUUUUAAAGUACUGUGCUUUCAAAAAAAAUUGGCAGAACUUUGAUUAUAUUUCAAACAAGUGUGGGAUCAGUGAGGUGACUGAAAAAUCGAUUUUUUUCUACAACAAUUGCACCGAGAUAGACGCUUAAAAAUUUACAGCUGUUUAGGAGUGAUUUUUUCCUCCAAAAAAUUGAUUUUUUAAUCGUUAUUUUACUAUUUCAAUCGUUAUAUUUGACUUAUUCUCUCACAGGUGAAUUCCAUUUUUCUCCUAAAGGUCAAAAAAUCAAUUCUCAAAAUCACUUUCAAACAGGCUCUUAUUGGUGAGCCUCUCAAAAAAGGUUAAACCCUAACCUUAAGAGUCCCCCACCACCCCUGUCCUGGAGCAUCGUGAGGGAGGUAAAUCGCAAGUUAUGCCUCCAAGGGUACAGGGUGGAAGGUUGCUUGUACACUUGCACUUAUCCAAGAGCCAAAUCCAUAUUUCAGGAUUCGAACCCUUGACGUAGCAGCCUCAAAUAAAGUUGGAUUUCUCCACCCUCCUCUUUUACCAUUUGGAAAUGUGCCCUGGGGGCUCUGAUUGGUGGGCCUCUCAAUUACUUAAGAGAGCGUCGAGGACCGGUAAUGUUAGCCAGCAUUAAAACUGAAAAUGAUAGGCAACUGUGAUGUAACUUCAUUCCAGAACCAUGAUAACAAGUCCACAUUGACUCUACCUAACCCACCACGUUUCUUGUCUACUUCCCCGCCAAGACCAAGAAACUCCCGAACCGUGGGUUGGUUUGAACCUUUAUUGACCAUUCUAGAUUCCAAUUUUCUCAUAUUUCAGAUUCCCCAGUUCCAAAUCGCGUGGGAAACAGGUAUAAAUACUACACACAACAUAAACAAUCCAUCAUAUCCUGUGUACUGAAAUCCAUAAUCCAUUUUCUUGUUUCAGUUUAUUUGAUAGCUUUUCCCAGUACGUUAUAUGAUGAACAAGUGCGAACGUGUGUUCAACUAUUUCGAUAAAGACAGAGAUGGAAAACUAACCCCGUUGGAGCUCCACCGUUGCAUUGGAUCAAUCUGCGGUGAUUUAUCACUUGAAGAGGUACAACAGGUGGUUGCGCCGUUGAUUUCCAGUGAGAACGGGGUUCUGGGAAUGGAUGAAUUGGAGUGUUUGGUCGAAAGCGACAACGAAGAAGAGAGAAUAGAGGACUUGAAAAAGACGUUUAGAAUGUAUGAAAUGGAAGGAAACGAAUGCAUUACUCCAAGAAGUCUAAAGAGAAUGCUGAGCAUAAUGGGAGAGUCGAGGUCUGUCGAUGAAUGUGUUGGAAUGAUUAAUCGAUUUGAUCUCAACGGCGACGGGGUGCUCAGCUUCGAUGAGUUCAAAAUCAUGAUGCUGAGCUAAGUAUUGCAAGCACAUGCAUAAAAUAUGCUAUUACUGCGUCACUAACUAAGAAUUUUUUCAUUUAUUUUUCUACUACAGGAUUUUUCGAGUGAAUAUUGGAUUUGAUUCUUUUGUAAGUUUAUUUGUUCAUGCGAUCAUUUAUCGCAUUUAAUAAAAAUGAAUAUUUCUACUAUAUUGAAGCGAUCUAUGACACGAGUUCGAUCAAACUAGAUACACUGGAUACAAAGAAUAAGAGGCAAAUCUUCUCACUAGUUUCUAACACCAACAUCCCCAUAUACUCCACUCCAUCAAACCCUCGGAGGGGAAAGCAAAGCAAAACAUAUUUACCACAAUAUGCUCAAGGCCAAAGAAAGAAAAUUUGACGGGAGGAUAAAAAUGGACCGAGAUAGUCUUAAAGCUACCAUGAUUUGUAAUUGAGAUACUGAUGCAAGUUUUUCCCUUCUGAAUUACAUAGAUUCAUAUUGAAAAGAAAUUAUCUCUGUUUGAGGCAUUCCCAAAAAUAUUCGAGAUCGAGUGAACAGUUCUACGAACAAAUUAGAAGUUCAUCUCAAUCUUUUGCAUGAAUUAAGUAGUAAUCCUUGCUAUUUAACCAAUUGCUUCUUUCCAUGGAGCUUUCCUUAAUUUCUUGCUGUUGAAAAGCCGGUAGUGUAUGUUGAGGUGGUGCGCUCUGAGAUGACUAUGCAUUACUCCAAGAGAAGUUUGAAUAAUUUCUCCAACCCAAAAUCGUAUGUGUUGGAGAGGGGGUUGUAUUACUGUCUCUGAUAGUGUUGCAUAUAAUUUGCCUCCUAAGUUGAUUGGGAAAAUUGCAGCAAAAGUCCCAAACCUUUCACUUUGUUGUAGAAUAUAUCUUAACCUUUUAUUUUUUGCGACUAUAAUCCCAAACCUUUCACUUUAACGGCACUCAAAGUCCAUUGGGCAGCAUCCGUCCAGUAUUCCGUUGGUCAACUCAAAAUUCAAACUUUGACUCAACUUGAAAAAUUAAGUACAAGGUAAAAUGGUAAAUUACAUUUUUUAUAAUAAAGGGAAAUAAUUAUAUCAAAAACCAAUAAAAUAAAAUAAAUAAAUGAAUACACUAUUCAUCUUCCUCAAUCCCCACCGCUCCAACCCUCACCUAUCCCUAAAACUAAAACCAGAAAAUCAGUCUGUGCUGACCGCAGUCAUUAGCCCAGACAUCGCACCAGCCAUUGACCUACUCUAUCCCAAUGACCCAUUCGCAAACCCUAUAUAUAUAUAUAUAUAUAUCAUGCCAUUUUGCACCGCCACCGUUGAUGGCUACCAACCAUGAAACCGCUAGGCACCACAAACACCCAAAAUCAUGGCCACAUGUAAAUAGAGCAAAAAUUGCCAAAAAUGUCAAGGCCUUCUAAAAAAAUAUUUCUGUAAAUUCUCCGAUUUGCAUACUUCCAAUUUUAUCCAUCCGAAUCUCCAAAAUGUCCCCAGAUUUUUACUUGAAAACAACAUUUCUGCACAAUUGCACUUCAAUACAUAAUGGAUAUAGAGAUAUAGACACAAUGAUGCAUGUGUAAUUGUGUUUAAUUGUAUGUUUCUUCCAUACACUGGUGGAAGUUUGGUCCGAUUCCAGUCACGUUGGGUCUGGCAGCACCUGAUUUAACGAUUUUGUGGAUACAAAUGAAAUAGGUUAUGAAGAAAUUAAACAAAGAACUUUUCAGAAAAUGGAAAAUUACAAAUUUUGGAAAAAAAAAAUUGUUCAAUGUCUAGUGAUUUUGAAGAGGGUUCCAUGAAAUUAAAUUAGAAUGAGAAUUAGAAAGACAACUAGUUGGUGGGUGUUGGGCAUAGGUCAUUGGAUGAGAAGAAUAGGUCAAUGGCCGAUGACGAUGGCCAACACUGAUUUUCUAGUUUUUGGGGGAUGGGGGAGAGGGUGUUUAGAAGAGUGGGGAUUGAAGGAGAUAAAUAGUGUAUUUAUUUAUUUAUUUUAUUGGUUUUUAAUAUAAUUAUUUUCCUUUAUUAUAAAAAAAAUUGUAAUUUACCAUUUUACUCGUCAUUUAAUUUGUUAAGUUGAGUCAAAGUUUGAACUUUUGAGUUGACUAACAGAAUGUUGGACAGAUUCUGUCCAAUGGACUCCGAGGGCUGUUAAAGUGAAAGGUUUGGGAUUGUGUUCGCAAAAAUAAAAGGUUAAGGUAUAUUCUGCAACAAAUUGAAACGUUUGGGACCUUUGUUGUAAUUUUCCCUAAGUUGAUUUGAUAAAUGGGCUUCCCAUAUUAUAGUCUAUACUUUCAUUAUUUUUCCUACAAUGUUUACACUUCAGCCUGGAUACUUGAACUGUAUUCACUGUCUGAUUAUUUGCAAUUCAACCUUUUUUAGUUAAUGCUACAAGCUGAGCUAAAAUCGUUGUCAUGUAUUAACCUUAUAAAUUCCCAUAGCUCUCUUUCCAUUGAUCUAUUAGAUGACCAUAAUGCACUAGUGACAACACGAUCUUUUAUAAUUUGAUACACGUGAUCGGCUUUCUUGCUGGUGAUUGAUCCAUCACAAGCAAAGUCAACGUUAGCUCUGUUAGUUAAAUUUAGUUCAAUGUAGAAAUAUUCGACUUGGAGCCACGUUAUCGACAUUGUCGGAGUAACACUUUGUAUCUUUUCCAUGCCUUAUAGUCGCAUUUCGAAUCAAACUGAAAGAAUUUAUUGAUUUCAUUCUUCAACUUGACAGUCCUGUUUGGUGGAAAAAAGUUAUUCAAGGACUUUUGGCAUUAACUAUUCCAUGUUGUGAUGUGGUAAGAACAUAUUCAACCAUUCUCUAGCAAAUUCCCUCAAUGUAUGUGGAAACAAUCUCAAUUGGAUUUUAGAACUAGAAACACUCGAAUAUUCAAUAGUUGCACACAUAUUGAUCACAUCUAUUCUCAGAUAAAAAUUUUCUUACCCAAAUGAUAGAUAAGCUAUGCUCGAUCGAUUCUCUACUACUGAUGGAGCAACGUAUUGUAAGUGUUAUGCCUAAAUCCAAUCGAUUUAGGUUGUAAACACUUUUAAUAUGUUUAAUGCAUUUAAUUUUGGCAAGAUCUAUUAUUUAUUUAAAUUAAUUUUGUGAUAAAUAAUAUUAAAUAAUAUAGUCCGAAAAUCCAAAUUUAAGUGAUUUGUUAAUCAUAAGGAGUUGUGAUUAUGAGAUACAAAUUACGUAUGAUUGGAUCUUGAAUAAACCGUGAUAGUAAGUAAUAACGAGAUACGGAUAUCGUUAAUAUAGAUAGACCAUCAUGUGUGGCAUUUCUUACUUAUGAAGUAAGUAGCUGAUCUCACGAGCUAAAAUGUGGUGACACUUAAAUGAAUACGUGGAUAUUUUGUUAUAGAACAAAACAUUGGAGACCCGCUAAGAGAUUCCACAUGGAUAACUAUUUGAGUAUUAGUGAUUAAUCUCUAACGUUCGGUAGUGGAAUUGGUCCUAUGACUUAAGGUCAUUAUAGUGCCAUGUAUGAGGACAAUCGUGCUUUGACGGUGUUGGAUGUUGCUCUGCCAAGGGCCGCUAAUACGACAUCGUUUGGGUAUGUCAAGAAUCAUAUGAAGGUUGUGAAUGACUAAUAGAGGAUUCGUCACUCUUAGAUAGUAAGAGAUUAUGAUCUGCAUUUCAUUUAAUUAGAUCGAUAACGAAAUCCUUGGCCAAGGUAUACAUAUUAGUCGAAAAUGAGUUUUCGACUCAUAUUGACUUAAUAGUAAAAUGAAAGAUAUGAUCGAUAAUCGAGAUUGACACACUUCCAUAUCUCGUAGUUGAUCGAAUCAUAUUGACGAAGGGAUUAUAGUUUCAUGGUAAACAAACAGCUUUGGUUUUGUCAUACCACGUGACAUUUUCCAUCACAUGUGUUGCCCUAAUACAUUGCUAGAUGUCAAUUUGGGACGGUGAGUGUGAAUUUGUGAUAAAUUAAAAGGGUGUUUAAUUUAUCAGUUUUGAUUAGAUCAAAAUAAUAUUUCACUUAUGCAUCGUGGUCGGGAACCUAAUGGGUCGCACACCAAAGAGAAUUGGAAGAUUGCAAAUUGUCAAUUAAUUAUUUUAACAAUCGUUGGAUAAAUUAAUUAAUUGGAUUGAUUAUUUAUAUCCCCGAAUUAAUUAAUUGGGUUAUUUAAUUCACGGAUCGGGUUUAAUUAAAUAUUGAAUCGGACCGGGCCGAGCCGAGCCCGUUUGGGUUUAUAUAAAUACAUAGUUAAGGUUUGAGAUCCAUGUUAUUUUCAUUAUUCUUGCUGGCACAAGAGGAAAAAUUCUAGCAGUUGCAGUCUAUUCUCUGUGUGGAUUUCAUUGGAGGCUGAACAAUUGGACAGUUAUGGGAGGCAGAUUCAAGUUGCUGGAAAAUGAUAACGCAAAGCAAUUUGCAAAAUCAAGAAAAAUAUAUAUUUUUCAUCAGAGUUCUUAUCUAAAUACAAAGAUGAAUUUUGGUGAGAAUUGAAACUGUUUAUUUCCACUGUGAAUGUUUAAGUAAAUUCCCAACACAUAGUUCCUCUUUAAUCCCUCAUUAUCGUUAUCCACAACUACAAUCAAAUGUGCUUCAUUUUCAUUCACCACAAUGGCGUUUCACUUUUGUAUAUUAUAUGAAAUUGCUUUUACUUGCUAUUUUUUCUGAGCGUCUGUAUUUGUCGUCUCAACCUAAAUAUUCAUUUGAAUUUUGAAUCAAAUGGAGUGAGAGCAUCGUAUCUUAAAUUUUGCAUAUGAGAUCUUGAAUUUAUUAUUUUUUUUAAAAAAAGGAAAACACUAUAAUUUUGAUAUUAUAAACUACAAUCUAAAGAAAGCAAUAAAAAAUUCAAAUUAAAGUUAUAACUAAUAAAACAAAUUAAAUAUUUUAGUCAUGGAAAUUAAAGUCAUAACUUACUAAAACUAAAAAAAAAUAGUAUAGUCAGAAAACAACAAAAAAAUUUUGAUAAAUAAAAUUUCGCAAGUCCACGAUAUAAGUCAAGUAAUAAAAAAUGAGUAAAGUAAUUCUAUGACUGUGUGCUUAAAGUAGUUCUAAUUAAUACUAGCUCUUGUCAAAUAUCUGAUUUAUGAUUCUUGAUUUCCAACACUAUUUAAUUAAACUAAUCUGAUGAGCAACAUUUCUUGUCUACUUCCCCGCCAGGACCCGGAAACUCCCAAACCGUGGGUUUCAACCUUUAUUGACCAUUCAAGAUUCCAAUUUUCUCAAAUCGCGUGGGAAACAGAUAUAAAUACUACCCACAACAUAAACAAUCCAUCAUAUCUUGUCUACUCAAUUCCAUAAUCCCUUUUCGUGUUUCAGUUUAAUUUGAUUGCUUCUUAUAGUACGUUAUAUGAUGAAAAAGUGCGAACGUGUAUUCAACUAUUUCGACAAAAACAAAGAUGGAAAACUUACCCCGUUGGAGCUCCACCGUUGCAUUGGAUCAAUUUGCGGUGAUUUAUCACUUGAAGCGGUACAACUGGUGGUUGCGCCGUUAAUUUCCGGUGCGAACGGGAUUCUGGGAAUGGAUGAAUUGGAGUGUUUGGUCGAAAGUGAUAACGAAGAAGAGAGAAUGGAGGACCUGAAAAAGACGUUUAGAAUGUAUGAAAUGGAAGGAAACGAAUGCAUUACUCCAAGAAGCCUAAAGAGAAUGCUGAGCAUAAUGGGAGAGUCGAGGUCUGUCGAUGAAGUGUUGGAAUGAUUGAUCGAUUUGAU